AGUGAACGCUGGCGGUAGGCCUAACACAUGCAAGUCGAACGGCAGCACAGUAAGAGCUUGCUCUUACGGGUGGCGAGUGGCGGACGGGUGAGGAAUACAUCGGAAUCUACUUUUUCGUGGGGGAUAACGUAGGGAAACUUACGCUAAUACCGCAUACGACCUACGGGUGAAAGCAGGGGAUCUUCGGACCUUGCGCGAUUGAAUGAGCCGAUGUCGGAUUAGCUAGUUGGCGGGGUAAAGGCCCACCAAGGCGACGAUCCGUAGCUGGUCUGAGAGGAUGAUCGGCCACACUGGAACUGAGACACGGUCCAGACUCCUACGGGAGGCAGCAGUGGGGAAUAUUGGACAAUGGGCGCAAGCCUGAUCCAGCCAUACCGCGUGGGUGAAGAAGGCCUUCGGGUUGUAAAGCCCUUUUGUUGGGAAAGAAAAGCAGCAGGUUAAUACCCCGCUGUUCUGACGGUACCCAAGGAAUAAGCACCGGCUAACUUCGUG
rnacentral:rRNA from 1 species